GGGUUUUUAAAAAGAUAAUUUUGAUUCAUGGUUGGUUGACUACAUGGAUGCAAUAUCCAUGGAUAUGGAGGGCCGACUGUAUUGGGUAAUUAAUGGAAUUAGAAGAAAAUUUAAGCAAAGAUAGGAACCAAGGAUCUAUGUAGCAGGAACUAACAGCUCAGUGUUGAAUUAGUUCCAAAUAUUUUUCUAAUCCUCUGAUUCAGGGAGUGCUGUGAAAGUUGGUCAGGGGAAGAGUAAGCAGACUUCCACAAUGUAGAAGAGGUCUUCCUGUCACAUCCUCCCGCCCAUUUUUGAGAACUUCAAGAACCCUGUCUCUUCGCCCAAGUGCUUGUAGUUUUCCUGUAUGUUCCCCAAUCCUCUAAAAGACUUGUUGGCCAGUGCAUAUGUACAUUUCUCAUAAUAUCUCAUCACUCACCUGUCAGAUUCUUUGUCUCUCCUGCCACACCUGCUGGAAGAGAAGGCAACCAAAGGAACUGAAGUCAGAGUGACAAGCCCUUUCAAAGAAAGACAGGAGAUAUGAACCAUCCCACCUUUGGCAGAGUAUCGGAGGCUGCCAGUAAAGCAAUUACUGGGACUGGACUGUGAGGAUACACCAGCCAGCUGUAAAUGGUCUUGACCAAUGUGAACAGCAUGAAUGAUCUUCCAGUCCCGGAGCGAGUCUGAUGGAGCUCUGGAACCAGACUCCUGCUCUCACCACUGCGCCAUCCUGUCGUCCUUUAUCAUCUGUCUAAGAAGCCUCAUUUCACAUUUCCCAAUCCUACUGUUCCUGAAGCAAAACAAAGUCAGUCCCUCAGACCCUGAAGUAGGAUAAAGCAAAU